rnacentral:rRNA from 1 species
UACGAACCGUGCUAACGUUGUUCGGAUUCACUGGGCUUAAAGGGCGCGUAGGCGGACUCGCCAGUCUGUGGUGAAAGCCCCCAGCUUAACUGGGGAAGUGCCGUGGAUACUGCGAGUCUGGAGGAGGGUAGGGGCAUCUGGAACGCUGGGUGGAGCGGUGAAAUGCGUUGAUAUCCAGCGGAACUCCGGUGGCGAAGGCGAGGUGCUGGACCCUUUCUGACGCUGAGGCGCGAAAGCCAGGGGAGCAAACGGG